AAGUGGUUCUCCCCCUGCGGGAGAUUAAAACGGGAACCGUGUGUGAAUCACGGGCUGUCGCGCAACUGUAAGUCCUCAAAGGCUUGUGCAACAAUGUCACUGAUAUUCGUUAUCGGGAAGGCGCACAAGUGGGACAAGCCAGGAGACCUGCCUCUUUC
rnacentral:ncRNA from 1 species